AGAGUUUGAUCAUGGCUCAGAUUGAACGCUGGCGGCAGGCCUAACACAUGCAAGUCGAGCGGUAACACAGAGAGCUUGCUCUCGGGUGACGAGCGGCGGACGGGUGAGUAAUGUCUGGGAAACUGCCUGAUGGAGGGGGAUAACUACUGGAAACGGUAGCUAAUACCGCAUAACGUCGCAAGACCAAAGUGGGGGACCUUCGGGCCUCAUGCCAUCAGAUGUGCCCAGAUGGGAUUAGCUAGUAGGUGGGGUAAUGGCUCACCUAGGCGACGAUCCCUAGCUGGUCUGAGAGGAUGACCAGCCACACUGGAACUGAGACACGGUCCAGACUCCUACGGGAGGCAGCAGUGGGGAAUAUUGCACAAUGGGCGCAAGCCUGAUGCAGCCAUGCCGCGUGUAUGAAGAAGGCCUUCGGGUUGUAAAGUACUUUCAGCGAGGAGGAAGGCGUUAAGGUUAAUAACCUUGGCGAUUGACGUUACUCGCAGAAGAAGCACCGGCUAACUCCGUGCCAGCAGCCGCGGUAAUACGGAGGGUGCAAGCGUUAAUCGGAAUUACUGGGCGUAAAGCGCACGCAGGCGGUCUGUCAAGUCGGAUGUGAAAUCCCCGGGCUCAACCUGGGAACUGCAUUCGAAACUGGCAGGCUAGAGUCUUGUAGAGGGGGGUAGAAUUCCAGGUGUAGCGGUGAAAUGCGUAGAGAUCUGGAGGAAUACCGGUGGCGAAGGCGGCCCCCUGGACAAAGACUGACGCUCAGGUGCGAAAGCGUGGGGAGCAAACAGGAUUAGAUACCCUGGUAGUCCACGCCGUAAACGAUGUCGACUUGGAGGUUGUGCCCUUGAGGCGUGGCUUCCGGAGCUAACGCGUUAAGUCGACCGCCUGGGGAGUACGGCCGCAAGGUUAAAACUCAAAUGAAUUGACGGGGGCCCGCACAAGCGGUGGAGCAUGUGGUUUAAUUCGAUGCAACGCGAAGAACCUUACCUACUCUUGACAUCCAGAGAACUUAGCAGAGAUGCUUUGGUGCCUUCGGGAACUCUGAGACAGGUGCUGCAUGGCUGUCGUCAGCUCGUGUUGUGAAAUGUUGGGUUAAGUCCCGCAACGAGCGCAACCCUUAUCCUUUGUUGCCAGCGGUCCGGCCGGGAACUCAAAGGAGACUGCCAGUGAUAAACUGGAGGAAGGUGGGGAUGACGUCAAGUCAUCAUGGCCCUUACGAGUAGGGCUACACACGUGCUACAAUGGCAUAUACAAAGAGAAGCGACCUCGCGAGAGCAAGCGGACCUCAUAAAGUAUGUCGUAGUCCGGAUUGGAGUCUGCAACUCGACUCCAUGAAGUCGGAAUCGCUAGUAAUCGUAGAUCAGAAUGCUACGGUGAAUACGUUCCCGGGCCUUGUACACACCGCCCGUCACACCAUGGGAGUGGGUUGCAAAAGAAGUAGGUAGCUUAACCUUCGGGAGGGCGCUUACCACUUUGUGAUUCAUGACUGGGGUGAAGUCGUAACAAGGUAACCGUAGGGGAACCUGCGGUUGGAUCACCU
rnacentral:rRNA from 9 species